rnacentral:rRNA from 2 species
AUGGACGAAAGUCUGAUGGAGCAACGCCGCGUGAGUGAAGAAGGGUUUCGGCUCGUAAAACUCUGUUGUUAAAGAAGAACAUAUCUGAGAGUAACUGUUCAGGUAUUGACGGUAUUUAACCAGAAAGCCACGGCUAACUACGUGCCAGCAGCCGCGGUAAUACGUAGGUGGCAAGCGUUGUCCGGAUUUAUUGGGCGUAAAGCGAGCGCAGGCGGUUUUUUAAGUCUGAUGUGAAAGCCUUCGGCUUAACCGAAGAAGUGCAUCGGAAACUGGGAAACUUGAGUGCAGAAGAGGACAGUGGAACUCCAUGUGUAGCGGUGAAAUGCGUAGAUAUAUGGAAGAACACCAGUGGCGAAGGCGGCUGUCUGGUCUGUAACUGACGCUGAGGCUCGAAAGUAUGGGUAGCAAACAGGAUUAGAUACCCUGGUAGUCCAUACCGUAAACGAUGAAUGCUAAGUGUUGGAGGGUUUCCGCCCUUCAGUGCUGCAGCUAACGCAUGAAGCAUCCCGCCUGGGGAGUACGGCCGCAAGGCUGAAACUCAAAGGAAUUGACGGGGGCCCGCACAAGCGGUGGAGCAUGUGGUUUAAUUCGAAGCUACGCGAAGAACCUUACCAGGUCUUGACAUACUAUGCGAAUCUAAGAGAUUAGACGUUCC